GACGAACGCUGGCGGCGUGCCUAAUACAUGCAAGUCGAACGCAGUGGGGACGGGUGAGUAACACGUGGGUAACCUCCCAUCAGAGGGGAUAACACUUGGAAACAGGUGCUAAACCGAUACUGAUGGAUGGACCCGCGGUGCAUUAGCUAGUUGGUGAGGUAACGGCUCACCAAGGCCACGAUGCAUAGCCGACCUGGAAGGGUGAGCGGCCACACUGGAACUGAUACGCGGCCCAGACUCCUCCGGGAGGCAGCAGUAGGGAGUAAUCGGCAAAGGACGAAAGGCUGACCGAGCAUCAACGCGCGAGUGAAGAAGGUUUUCGGAACGUAAAACUCUGUUGUUAGAGAAGCGGUAGCUAACCAGAAAGCCACGGCUAACUACGUGCCAGACGCCGCGGUAAUUC
rnacentral:rRNA from 1 species